rnacentral:rRNA from 1 species
CGAUCUGGCUCAGAUGAACGCUGGCGGCGUGCUUAACACAUGCAAGUCGCGCGUGAAAGGACUUCGGUCCGAGUAAAGCGGCGCACGGGUGAGUAACGCGUGGAUGAUCUACCCAUGAGUUAGGAAUAACGGCUGGAAACGGUCGCUAAUACCAAAUACGCUCCGAUUUCAACUUCGGGGGGAAAGGUGGCCUCUGCUUGCAAGCUACUGCUCAUGGAUGAGUCCGCGUCCCAUUAGCUAGUUGGUGGGGUAACGGCCCACCAAGGCGACGAUGGGUAGCCGGUCUGAGAGGAUGACCGGCCACACUGGGACUGGAACACGGCCCAGACUCCUACGGGAGGCAGCAGUGGGGAAUAUUGCGCAAUGGGCGAAAGCCUGACGCAGCGACGCCGCGUGAGGGAUGAAGGUCCUCGGAUCGUAAACCUCUGUCAGGAGGGAAGAACCGCCACGGUGCUAAUCAGCCGUGGUCUGACGGUACCUCCAAAGGAAGCACCGGCUAACUCCGUGCCAGCCGCUGC